rnacentral:rRNA from 1 species
GACGUAGGGCGCGAGCGUUGUCCGGAUUUAUUGGGCGUAAAGAGCUCGUAGGCGGCUUGUCGCGUCGACCGUGAAAACUUGGGGCUCAACCCCAAGCCUGCGGUCGAUACGGGCAGGCUCGAGUUCGGUAGGGGAGACUGGAAUUCCUGGUGUAGCGGUGAAAUGCGCAGAUAUCAGGAGGAACACCAGCGGCGAAGGCGGCGCUCUGGGCCGGAACUGACGCUGAGGAGCGAAAGCGUGGGUAGCAAACAGG